rnacentral:rRNA from 1 species
AGAGUUUGAUCCUGGCUCAGAUCGAACGCUGGCGGCAGGCUUAACACAUGCAAGUCGAGCGGAAACGAUGGUAGCUUGCUACCAGGCGUCGAGCGGCGGACGGGUGAGUAAUACUUAGGAAUCUACCUAGUAGUGGGGGAUAGCACGGGGAAACUCGUAUUAAUACCGCAUACGACCUACGGGAGAAAGGGGGCAGUUUACUGCUCUCGCUAUUAGAUGAGCCUAAGUCGGAUUAGCUAGAUGGUGGGGUAAAGGCCUACCAUGGCGACGAUCUGUAGCUGGUCUGAGAGGAUGAUCAGCCACACCGGGACUGAGACACGGCCCGGACUCCUACGGGAGGCAGCAGUGGGGAAUAUUGGACAAUGGGGGAAACCCUGAUCCAGCCAUGCCGCGUGUGUGAAGAAGGCCUUUUGGUUGUAAAGCACUUUAAGCAGUGAAGAAGACUCUUCGGUUAAUACCCGGAGACGAUGACAUUAGCUGCAGAAUAAGCACCGGCUAACUCUGUGCCAGCAGCCGCGGUAAUACAGAGGGUGCAAGCGUUAAUCGGAAUUACUGGGCGUAAAGCGAGCGUAGGUGGCUUGAUAAGUCAGAUGUGAAAUCCCCGGGCUUAACCUGGGAACUGCAUCUGAAACUGUUAGGCUAGAGUAGGUGAGAGGGAAGUAGAAUUUCAGGUGUAGCGGUGAAAUGCGUAGAGAUCUGAAGGAAUACCGAUGGCGAAGGCAGCUUCCUGGCAUCAUACUGACACUGAGGCUCGAAAGCGUGGGUAGCAAACAGGAUUAGAUACCCUGGUAGUCCACGCCGUAAACGAUGUCUACUAGUCGUUGGGUCCCUUGAGGACUUAGUGACGCAGCUAACGCAAUAAGUAGACCGCCUGGGGAGUACGGGCCGCAAGGUUAAAACUCAAAGGAAUUGACGGG